UAUGGUAACAGAAUUGGUGAAUGUGAUUGGCGAAUGCAAUUUCCCUUAGCCACAGGCCUUGCCCAUAUCAGAGUCUCCACCGAUUACCUCUUGCGGGUUUAAAAAAAGGCACAUACCAUUUGCCGAUAAAAUCCCCAAAAUUGGGCCCUAAAUAUGUCAUGCAAAUACACUUUAUUUCAGUCUUUGAUGAGGAGACUUGUUCGAUGUGUGGAGCUGACAAGCCCCCUGGACAAGCACCUCCCGUUACAGACUGGAUCCAGUGUGAUAAUUGUGACCGGUGGUUCCAUAACCUUUGCUUGAACAUGGACCAAAAUAAGUUAAAGGAACUCAAGAAAAGGCAAUGGCUGUGUGUUUUAUGCCGAUGACAAGGUUGAGGAAAAUUGUGCCUCGUCCAAGUGCCAGGUUUUGUUUAGAAAUGUGAUUAAAAAAAACGUAAAAGGCGUGUUAACAUCAGAAGAUGUGGAAAGCAUGAAUGGGGAGGGGAGACACACACACACACACACACACACACACACACACACACACACACACACACACACACACACACACACACACACACACACACACACACACACACACACAUUUCCAUUUCAUCUAUUCUCUCUGGUUACAGCCAUAUACACUUUGAUAUUGGAUCCCUUCCACUUACUUUAACCCUAGGCUAUACCGUAAGGACUGAAGAUCAAUGCCUGAUUACCAAAAGAUUCUGUUGAGUCAGUGUAUAAAACACAACAGCUGCGUUGAUUGAGAAACGCUUUACACCAAUACUGUGCAUAGUCUGAUUCAUUGCCAUGGAUUGCAAGAAGGAAAUAUUACAGAAAGGUCUGAAGUUAAAAUAUAAUUUGCAAGUUCACAUAAUGAAGUGGGAAAACAAAUGAAGGUGUGUUUGAUUAGUAUAUCAUGAAUGGAAUUCUUAAAAUAUUUAAAGAAAAUUGGAGGUGCAAAAUAUUAAUUUUUAAGGAGGUGUGUGUUGUUAUUACCAUAUUGUAGGACAGGUCCACAUUGGUCUGGGGCCUCUGGGUCCCAUAACUCGGAAGCUAUUGAGCAAAAAGCAAUUUCCCAUAGGAAACUAAUGGGAUUCUUAAAAUAUUCAAAUAAAAUUGGAGGUGCAAAAUAUUAAUUUUUAGUGAGGUGUGUGUUGUUAUUACCAUAUUGUAGGACAGGUCCACAUUGGUCUGGGGCCUCUGGGUCCCAUAACUCGGAAGCUAUUG
rnacentral:lncRNA from 1 species